rnacentral:rRNA from 1 species
CCUACGGGAGGCAGCAGUGAGGAAUAUUGGUCAAUGGACGAGAGUCUGAACCAGCCAAGUAGCGUGAAGGAUGAAGGUUCUAUGGAUUGUAAACUUCUUUUAUACGGGAAUAAACGGAUCCACGUGUGGAUUUUUGCAUGUACCGUAUGAAUAAGGAUCGGCUAACUCCGUGCCAGCAGC